CCCCUGGUGGUCCGACCUGUAAACACACAAGUUCCCUGACUGAGCGUUUCCCAGUGUGAUUUUCCCCGACUCCUGGAAACAAUGAGAGAGAAAUACUUUGGGAGCUUCGAAGGUAUAAAUAACGCAGCAGCCAACAGCAAGAGGCUUCGAGAAUGUGACCUGUGAAGAACAGACUUGGAGCCAUCUCUGCCAGGCAGCAGAAUAUUAGUGUCCCCAUGGCAGGAUAUUUCUUCUUUAUGGGCCCUGGAAAUACACCUCCUUAGCUCACACUUGCCCACCUAUACCCUCCCUCUGAGAGCCUGCUUCUGACCUCCCAGGGGGGUCAGUGCUCUGCCUGUCCUGCCUAACCUGGGAUCUUGGCCCACAAGAUGACUGACUAUAAUAGCCACUGGAUUAACAUAGCAGGCAUUGUCUUUCUCUGACUAUAGGGUG
rnacentral:lncRNA from 1 species